GCAGAGAUUACACCUCGUACCUUUUGCAUCAUGAUUUAGCUAGAAAAUUCGAGCAAAGAGCCCUUUAGUUCGAAACCCCGAAACUGAGUGAGCUACUCCAAGACAGCCUAAUUAACAGGGCGCACCCUUCUCUGUGGCAAAAGAGUGGGAAGAUCUUUGAGUAGAGGUGACAGACCUAUCGAACUCAGUUAUAGCUGGUUGUCUGAGAAGUGGAUACAAGUUCAGCCUCUCUAGUUCUUCAUACCCUGAGGGAGUUAGUCAAAGGGGGUACAGCUCCUUUGAAAUAGAAACAACUUGCAAGGGAGGGUACAGGUCAUAUAUAUCAAGGAAACACGUUCUAGUGGGCCUAAAAGCAGCCAACCUGAUAGAAAGCGUUAAAGCUCAAACAUAAUAUUUCGAUAACUUAACCUUAUCCCCCCAAACUGUACCAGACCUCUCUAUUCCAAUAGAAGAGAUUAUGCUAAAAUGAGUAACAAGAAAAGAUUUUCUCACCACACAUGUGUACAUCGGAACGGACAAACCACCGAAAAUUAACGACCCCAAGUAAAGAGGGCCAUGCAAAUAAAAGACUAGAAAAACCUCCAUCGUUAAACCUACACAGGCGUUUACCCAGUGAAAGAUUAAAAAAGGGAGAAGGAACUCGGCAAACAAGCCUCGCCUGUUUACCAAAAACAUCGCCUCUUGCCCGUAUAAGAGGUCCUGCCUGCCCAGUGACAUAAUGUUAAACGGCCGCGGUAUUCUGACCGUGCGAAGGUAGCGCAAUCACUUGUCUUUUAAAUGGAGACCUGUAUGAAUGGCAAGACGAGGGCUUAACUGUCUCCUCCCUUCAAUCAAUGAAAUUGAUCUCUCCGUGCAGAAGCGGGGAUUAACUCAUAAGACGAGAAGACCCUAUGGAGCUUUAGACAAUAAGACAGCCCAUACAAAGCAAUCAAAAUUAAAUGAAGCACACCCUAUGCCCCCUGUCUAAAUGUCUUCGGUUGGGGCGACCAUGGGGAAAUACAAAACCCCCAAGUGGAACGAGAGAACUCUCCAAAACUAGAGGGACACCUCUAAUUAACAGAACUUCUGACCUCCAAGGAUCCGGUAUUACCGAUCAACGAACCAAGUUACCCUAGGGAUAACAGCGCAAUCCCCUUUUAGAGUCCAUAUCGACAAGGGGGUUUACGACCUCGAUGUUGGAUCAGGAC
rnacentral:rRNA from 1 species